rnacentral:rRNA from 1 species
GAUGAGCGCUAGCUACAGGCUUAACACAUGCAAGUCGAGGGGUAAUGAGAGGGAAGCUUGCUUUCCUUGUCGACGACCGGCGCACGGGUGAGUAACGCGUAUCCAACCUGCCCCCAACUAGGGAAUAACCUUGCGAAAGUAAGACUAAUACCCUAUAAUUUCCUCAGAUGUCAUCUGACGAGGAAUAAAGAUUUAUCGUUUGUGGAUGGGGAUGCGUCUGAUUAGCUUGUUGGCGGGGUAACGGCCCACCAAGGCAACGAUCAGUAGGGGUUCGAAUAGCAAGGUCCCCCACAUUGGAACUGAGACACGGUCCAAACUCCUACGGGAGGCAGCAGUGAGGAAUAUUGGUCAAUGGGCGGAAGCUUGAACCAGCCAAGUAGCGUGCAGGAUGACGGCCCUAUGGGUUGUAAACUGCUUUUAUACAGGAAUAAAGUUAGCCACGUGUGGUUAUUUGUAGGUACUGUAUGAAUAAGGACCGGCUAAUUCCGUGCCAGCCGCCGCGGUAA